GCUGGGCGUGGUGGUGCACGCCUUUAAUCCCAGCAGCUUGGGAGGCUGAGGCAGGAGGAUCGCAAAUUCAAAGCCAGCCUCAGCAAUGGCAAGGCACUAAGCAACUCAGUGAGACCCUGUCUCUA
rnacentral:sRNA from 1 species